rnacentral:rRNA from 1 species
ACUGCAGGCUGCAACUCGCCUGCACGAAGUCGGAAUUGCUAGUAAUCGUAGGUCAGCAUACUACGGUGAAUACGUUCCCGGGCCUUGUACACACCGCCCGUCAAACCAUGAGAGUUGGCAACACCCGAAGUCGGUAGUCUAACCGCAAGGAGGACGCCGCCGAAGGUGGGGUCGAUGAUUAGGGUUAAGUCGUAACAAGGUAUC